AUCAGCCUGCCGCGUGUGUGAAGAAGGCCUUUUGGUUGUAAAGCACUUUAAGCGAGGAGGAGGCUACCUAGAUUAAUACUCUGGGAUAGUGGACGUUACUCGCAGAAUAAGCACCGGCUAACUCUGUGCCAGCAGCCGCGGUAAUACAGAGGGUGCGAGCGUUAAUCGGAUUUACUGGGCGUAAAGCGUGCGUAGGCGGCUGAUUAAGUCGGAUGUGAAAUCCCUGAGCUUAACUUAGGAAUUGCAUUCGAUACUGGUCAGCUAGAGUAUGGGAGAGGAUGGUAGAAUUCCAGGUGUAGCGGUGAAAUGCGUAGAGAUCUGGAGGAAUACCGAUGGCGAAGGCAGCCAUCUGGCCUAAUACUGACGCUGAGGUACGAAAGCAUGGGGAGCAAACAGGAUUAGAUACCCUGGUAGUCCAUGCCGUAAACGAUGUCUACUAGCCGUUGGGGUCUUUGAGGCUUUAGUGGCGCAGCUAACGCGAUAAGUAGACCGCCUGGGGAGUACGGUCGCAAGACUAAAACUCAAAUGAAUUGACGGA
rnacentral:rRNA from 1 species